rnacentral:rRNA from 1 species
UAAUACGGAAGGUCCAGGCGUUAUCCGGAUUUAUUGGGUUUAAAGGGAGCGUAGGCUGUUUGUUAAGCGUGUUGUGAAAUGUAAGAGCUCAACUUUUAGAUUGCAGCGCGAACUGGCAGACUUGAGUGCGCACAACGUAGGCGGAAUUCAUGGUGUAGCGGUGAAAUGCUUAGAUAUCAUGACGAACUCCGAUUGCGAAGGCAGCUUACGGGAGCGCAACUGACGCUAAAGCUCGAAGGUGCGGGUAUCGAACAGGAUUAGAUACCCUGGUAGUCCGCACAGUAAACGAUGGAUGCCCGCUGUUAGCACCUAGUGUUAGCGGCUAAGCGAAAGCAUUAAGCAUCCCACCUGGGGAGUACGCCGGCAACGGUGAA